rnacentral:rRNA from 1 species
GCCCAGAGCCUGAAUCAGUGUGUGUGUUAGUGGAAGCGUCUGGAAAGGCGCGCGAUACAGGGUGACAGCCCCGUACACAAAAAUGCACAUAUUGUGAGCUCGAUGAGUAGGGCGGGACACGUGGUAUCCUGUCUGAAUAUGGGGGGCCCAUCCUCCAAGGCUAAAUACUCCUGACUGACCGAUAGUGAACCAGUACCGUGAGGGAAAGGCGAAAAGAACCCCGGCGAGGGGAGUGAAAAAGAACCUGAAACCGUGUACGUACAAGCAGUGGGAGCACGCUUAGGCGUGUGACUGCGUACCUUUUGUAUAAUGGGUCAGCGACUUAUAUUCUGUAGCAAGGUUAACCGAAUAGGGGAGCCGAAGGGAAACCGAGUCUUAACUGGGCGUUAAGUUGCAGGGUAUAGACCCGAAACCCGGUGAUCUAGCCAUGGGCAGGUUGAAGGUUGGGUAACACUAACUGGAGGACCGAACCGACUAAUGUUGAAAAAUUAGCGGAUGACUUGUGGCUGGGGGUGAAAGGCCAAUCAAACCGGGAGAUAGCUGGUUCUCCCCGAAAGCUAUUUAGGUAGCGCCUCGUGAAUUCAUCUCCGGGGGUAGAGCACUGUUUCGGCAAGGGGGUCAUCCCGACUUACCAACCCGAUGCAAACUGCGAAUACCGGAGAAUGUUAUCACGGGAGACACACGGCGGGUGCUAACGUCCGUCGUGAAGAGGGAAACAACCCAGACCGCCAGCUAAGGUCCCAAAGUCAUGGUUAAGUGGGAAACGAUGUGGGAAGGCCCAGACAGCCAGGAUGUUGGCUUAGAAGCAGCCAUCAUUUAAAGAAAGCGUAAUAGCUCACUGGUCGAGUCGGCCUGCGCGGAAGAUGUAACGGGGCUAAACCAU